UACGUAGGCAGCGAGCGUUGUUCGGAAUUACUGGGCGUAAAGAGUGUGUAGGCGGCGCUCUAAGUUCGGUGUGAAAUCUCUCGGCUUAACUGGGAGGGUGCGCCGGAAACUGGAGUGCUCGAACGUGGGAGAGGAAAGCGGAAUUCCUGGUGUAGCGGUGAAAUGCGUAGAUAUCAGGAGGAACACCUGCGGUGUAGACGGCUUUCUGGACAGAAACUGACGCUGAUGCGCGAAAGCUAGGGGAGCAAACAGG
rnacentral:rRNA from 1 species